GAUGAACGCUGGCGGCGUGCCUAAUACAUGCAAGUCGAGCGAACAGACGAGGAGCUUGCUCCUCUGACGUUAGCGGCGGACGGGUGAGUAACACGUGGAUAACCUACCUAUAAGACUGGGAUAACUUCGGGAAACCGGAGCUAAUACCGGAUAAUAUAUUGAACCGCAUGGUUCAAUAGUGAAAGACGGUUUUGCUGUCACUUAUAGAUGGAUCCGCGCCGCAUUAGCUAGUUGGUAAGGUAACGGCUUACCAAGGCAACGAUGCGUAGCCGACCUGAGAGGGUCAUCCGCCACACUGGAACUGAGACACGGUCCAGACUCCUACGGGAGGCAGCAGUAGGGAAUCUUCCGCAAUGGGCGAAAGCCUGACGGAGCAACGCCGCGUGAGUGAUGAAGGUCUUCGGAUCUUAAAGCUCUGUUAUUAGGGAAGAACAAAUGUGUAAGUAACUAUGCACGUCUUGACGGUACCUAAUCAGAAAGCCACGGCUAACUACGUG
rnacentral:rRNA from 1 species